UCUCCGUUGGUGAACCAGCGGAGGGAUCAUUACCGAGUUAUACAACUCAUCAACCCUGUGAACAUACCUAAACGUUGCUUCGGCGGGAACAGACGGCCCCGUAACACGGGCCGCCCCCGCCAGAGGACCCCCUAACUCUGUUUCUAUAAUGUUUCUUCUGAGUAAAACAAGCAAAUAAAUUAAAACUUUCAACAACGGAUCUCUUGGCUCUGGCAUCGAUGAAGAACGCAGCGAAAUGCGAUAAGUAAUGUGAAUUGCAGAAUUCAGUGAAUCAUCGAAUCUUUGAACGCACAUUGCGCCCGCCAGUAUUCUGGCGGGCAUGCCUGUUCGAGCGUCAUUACAACCCUCAGGCCCCCGGGCCUGGCGUUGGGGAUCGGCGGAGCCCCCUGCGGGCACACGCCGUCCCCCAAAUACAGUGGCGGUCCCGCCGCAGCUUCCAUUGCGUAGUAGCUAACACCUCGCAACUGGAGAGCGGCGCGGCCACGCCGUAAAACCCCCAACUUCUGAACGUUGACCUCGAAUCAGGUAGGAAUACCCGCUGAACUUAA
rnacentral:misc_RNA from 1 species